AGGAUCAUAAUUUAAUUUAAAAUAUUUGAAUUGCAAUCAAAAAUUACUAACAAAGUUGAUCUUA
rnacentral:tRNA from 1 species